GCUAUUAAGUUGUGCAACCUAUUGUCGCUUCGUUGGGUUAAACACGAAUGUUUAAAUCUAUCGAACUACUGCGCAUUCAAUCAUUUGGCAGUCGACAUCGGAAUACACAUGUCAGCUUGCUGUUCGUUUUUUAUGCAACUACGUUCAAACACCAAACGCAAAGCCUAUCCCAAGGCAAUGCCCCAUUUGCGUGGUAAAGGGCAAGACGACUAUGUACCUCCAGGUAGCAGACCACGUUCGCUGGGUGCAAGCACUGACGGCAGACCCCAUGAAGCCGUUAAUGUCAGAGGCACGUGCUAAGACCGGGCGGAAAGUGAAGAAGACAAAGCCGAGGAAUUACUACUCUUGCUGGCUGUGCGACCGGUCGGUGAUUGACCGGCUGCGUCAUCUAGAACAGAAGCACAAAAUGGAGGCUGGGACAUUCAAUUUCGUUUACACAAGAGGGCCGUUUCCGGAAGGUCACAAAAACUUAAGGAAAGGUUACCAGCAGACUCGCCACUCAUGAUGACUCGGCAUAGGAGGAUGAGAAGGUGGAGGAUGAGGAGGAGGAGGAAGAGGACUUUUCGUUCCUAACGCGGAAAUACUGCCUGAGCCUGGAACCCAAUGCAAGGGUGAUGCAUGGUCGGAGAAGCUGCAAGUAACAAUAUGGAUUGCUUAUAUAGUGUAAAGUCUCGAGUCCGUUUACGGGGUAGAACCAGUACUUGGUGCAUUAAGCCCUGUUUUCCCAGAUUUUUUUUAAAUUAUAUACAUUUCAAUUGAUAGUCAUUAUUAUUGCAACAUGUAUAUAUCUUAAAAACCGUGAGGAAAUAUAUAUAAGUACAUUAAAAUUUAAGAUAAAUAUUAUUUAUUUAUAAUACUUUGGAAUUACUGGUUGUGAGUUAAUUAUAUGCGAUUUCACCAUCUAGCAUAGAAUAUCAUCCAAUAAUACUUGUUGCAGUUUCAAUCGUUGACUCAUAUGUAGGCUACAUGUUCCUGCUGAGCAGGCCAGGUGGGUUGACAAACGAGUCGAAAACACAAGAGGUCAACAUGAAGAUCAACCGGUUCCUGGCCCUGUCUGGCUACUUGGAAGGAGUGGUGUUGAGUGACGUGCUGUUGUGGAAGGGCCAUAUGGAGGUCCACGACAGUUCCUCAACACCACUCACCAGCUGAAGACGGUGCAGACUGCACUAACGGCAAUCAAGAACUUCCUGAAGUGGUGCGAGGGAAUGGUCUAGCGGACGCCCGCGCAUUGAACAAUCUUUAUUUUUUUCAGGCCGAUCAGUCCGUCAGUAUGAAAGUCCGGGUUAGGCUUGUCUGGAGCGUAGUAGUACCUAAAGAUUGAGCUGGAGACAGUGAAGGUGCUGACCUCUGUGUGGAACACUUAGCAGCUUGCAAGUUUUCAUAUUGAAGGGCAUGGUUCCCAACUGCCCAUCACACACAGAAUGUAGCUUGUCGUCUUCCGCAGUAAAAACUGGGUGCUGGAAGAUGCUUUCUGCUAUAUUGACUGCUUCCAAGGGCUUCCUGGACCUAAAAAUUAUCUCCCAGGAGCAACCUCCCCAAGGUGUGACGAGAGUCUUCAAGUGUUCCAGACGGCUGGUGAUGCAUUUCAAGAAAAGCCAUCAGAAUCUUGCAAUGAUCUGUAUACUUAAUAAAUGACAAAACAACAACA